UCUGCCGGAUUAUGCACAGUGUCUCUGCCUUGACCUCUGUGUAAUCGUUCAACAAUAACAAACCCUUUCAGCUUCUAAAAAACCACGGUAAGAGAAAUCCCUCAGAAAAUAACCCAUCGUCAGAGAAAAAAGAGCUGGCUAAGAGCCUAUGUGUCGUUUUUCUCAGUUGAGCUGAAAUGAUUGGCAGAAUUGUUCAUGAAAUUCAGAUGUUAGGGUUAUCUUCUUCUAAUUAAAGCAGACAGUGGACCGGGCUUUGUUCAGGAGCCGGACAGAAAUUUAAACAGACUGUGCAAAGCUGUAAAGAGGCUCCCGAGGGAUCUCAUUAUGAACUAUAUGAAGAGAGCCCAUCUGCACCAAGGCAUUGUCUUCACUCUGCUGUAAAGAUGAGUUCUUGGCUGCUUGCUGUGUCAUGGCAUUUCAACACCAUCAAAAAAUCAUUACAGACCAGAGAGGAACAGGAAGAUAGACAUGCCAGAUGUUAGACAUACAUUAUGUCACACAGAGUAAUGCAGCACCUCCUCAUGGUCUUCAUGAUCUUCAUGGUCUUCAUGAUCUUCUGAUGCAUGCUUCUCCAGAUAGUCGGUCUAAGUGUUGGAAGAUGCUCUCCUCAGGUUGAGAUAUGGCAGAGAUGAGCUCCUCACACUCAUGAGCUGUCAGCAGCUCCACCAGGCGCUCCAGCUGAUUAUUGCUGCAAAGCAAGUACAGGAACUUGCUACUGCCAGUACAUACGCUGAUACAGUGCAGUGAGUAUUACUGCUGCUGCACAAAUAGCAUAUAUAGUAACCUGUAGCAGAUCUAAACGGGUGGAGCUGGGGAAGGUGGAGGGUUUCAGAGGAACUGUGAAAGCAUGCUGCGAAAUGCUCUGGUGGAUGCUAACCAGCCAUUUAAAUGUAAAGCAGCAAGCUCACUGGCUGCAUAUGAAACAUUAACUAAUCAGCUUGUGCCAUGUAGUUUAACGCUGUGAAUAUCAUCAGUUUGUGUUAGGGACCCA